rnacentral:sRNA from 1 species
UUUUUUUUUCCGUCGAACAUUAUUUAUGUAUUAAGUAAUCUGGAAGAGACUCUCUUCUAUAGAAAACCAUUCAUGAACCGAUUUGCUUACAUGAGAAAACAAACUAUUACGAGCACGUGCUUUGUUCCGAGGCAAUGCCCCCUCACAUUAAAUCAACGAGAAAGGAAAUUAAUACUAAAUGAAGGAAAAAAUCAGACAAGGGAACCAAAAGUCGCUAUCUCAGCUACUAACGUCGGCCACUCCGAAAGUUUCUCAAGGAUAGAGAUAAGAUCUGCACAAUCGGUUGCAAAGGAGCAACUCGUAACACCUAUCGAGAUCAUACAUUCCAUUGCCAAAACAAGGAAUCAACUUCAGCAUGAAGGGGUGAUAAACUUCUACGCACACUCUUCAAAGAAACAUAUUACUACAAUUGAUGAACAUUCCCAAUUAUUUGGUGGAGUAGCUUAGAGCGUCUCCAUCAGUAGUCUCUCACAUGGUUUUUUAUUAACUAAAAAAUAUAAAAUAAUAAUAAAAUAGAAAAGAGAUAGGAGAAAGUUUGAAAAUAGUUUCUCUGCAGAUAAACUUUAAAGUAAUGAUUGAGAGAUUAUGUGUAUAGAUGUGUGUUUAUAAUUGGACAGAAACUAAAUUAUAAUAAAAUAUUAUUAUAUAUUUUUUUUGAGAAACUUUUAAAGUAUCUCACCAAUGGAGAUGACCUUAGUGCUCAGGUUUCUUCUUCUUUUCUCUUACUCUCCUUCCUCUUUAUUUUAUUUAAGGGGGUGUAUUGAACUAUGUAUUUUGAAAGAG